GAACUGCGAUAAGUAAUGUGAAUUGCAGAAUUCAGUGAAUCAUCGAGUCUUUGAACGCACAUUGCGCCCCCUGGCAUUCCGGGGGGCAUGCCUGUCCGAGCGUCAUUGCUGCCCUUCAAGCCCGGCUUGUGUGUUGGGUCGUCGUCCCCUCCGGGGGACGGGCCCGAAAGGCAACGGCGGCACCGCGUCCGGUCCUCGAGCGUAUGGGGCUUUGUCACCCGCUCGAUAAGGACCGGCCGGGCGCCAGCCGGCGUCUCCAACCUUUUUUUCUCAGGUUGACCUCGGAUCAGGUAGGGAUACCCGCUGAACUUAAGC
rnacentral:misc_RNA from 1 species